rnacentral:lncRNA from 1 species
AACUGCCACUCAGAUAAGGUGCUGGUCGCAAAAUGCCGCUCAGAUCAGGGUCCGGUUGGAAACUGCCACUCAGAUAAGGGUCCGGUUGCAAACUGCCACUCAGAUAAGGGUCCGGUUGCAAACUGCUUCUCAGAUAAGGGUCCGGUUGGAAACUGCCACUCAGAUAAGGUGCUGGUUGCAACAUGCCACUCAGAUAAGGUGCUUGUUACAAACUGCCACUCAGAUAAGGGUCCGGAUGCAAACUCCCACUCAGAUAAGGUGCUGGUUGCAACAUGCCACUCAGAUAAGGUGCUGGUUACAAACUGCCACUAAGAUAAGGGUCCGGAUGCAAACUGCCACUCAGAUAAGGGUCCGGAUGCAAACUGCCACUCAGAUAAGGGUCCGGAUGCAAACUGCCACUGAGAUAAGGUGCUGGUUGUAAACUGCCGUUCAGAUAAGGGUCCGGUUGCAAACUGCCAUUCAGAAAAGGGUCUGGUUGCAAACUGCCACUUAGAUAAGGGCCCGGUAGCAAACGGCCACUCAGAUAAGGUGCUGGUUGCUAACUGCCAUUAAGAUAAGGGUCUUGAUGCAAACUGCCACUCAGAUAAGGUGCUGGUCGCAAAAUGCCGCUCAGAUAAGGGUCCAGUUGCAAACUUCCCUUCAGAUAAGGGUCCGGUUGCAAACUGCCACUCAGAUAAGGGUCCAGUUGCAAACCGCCACUCAGAUAAGGAGCUGGAUGCAAACUGCCUCUCAGAUAAGGGUCGGGUUACAAACUGCCACUCAGAUAAGGUGAGGGUUGGAAUCUGCCACUAAGAUAAGGUGCUGGUUGCAACAUACCACUCAGAUAAGGUGCUGGUUGCAACAUGCCACUUAGAUAAGGUGCUGGUUGCAAACUCCCACUCAGAUAAGGGUGUGGUUACAAACUGCCUCUCAGAUAAGGGUCCGGGUGGAAACUGCCACUCAGAUAAGGUGCUGGUUGGAAACUGCCACUCAGAUAAGGGUCUGGUUGUAAACUGCCACUCAGAUAAAAGGGGCCGGUUACAACAGGCACUAGCAGACUCGUCUGCACUAAUGACAUUUGCGUUCCUCUGUCAUCUUACAUCUUGAUGUACAUCAUUAGCGUCAGAGGGGUCACUGGUGUAGGAAACGUCAGCUCCGACGUUGGGAUAGUCGACGUCGGGCUACUGUCAUGUUUUCUGGCAAACCGAGGUUCACUUUAGCCUUCCGUAUG